rnacentral:rRNA from 2 species
AAAAACAUCGCCUCCCGCAAAAAUCAAUGUAUAGGAGGUCCUGCCUGCCCAGUGACUAAAUUAAACGGCCGCGGUAUUUUGACCGUGCAAAGGUAGCGCAAUCACUUGUUUUUUAAAUAAAGACCUGUAUGAAUGGUGAAACGAGGGCUUAACUGUCUCCUUUUUCUGAUCAGUGAAAUUGAUCUACCCGUGCAGAAGCGGGUAUAAAAAUACAAGACGAGAAGACCCUAUGGAGCUUAAGACAAAAAAUCAACUAUGUUAAAAACCCCCAUUAAGGGAACAAAACAAAACAGCAACUGAUUAGCGUCUUCGGUUGGGGCGACUACGGGGGAAAACCAAUCCCCCACGUGGAAUAGAACACAAUUCUAAAACCAUGAGGCACACCUCUAAGUCACAGAACUUCUGACCAAAUGAUCCGGCAACCAGCCGAUCAACGAACCAAGUUACCCUAGGGAUAACAGCGCAAUCCCCUCCAAGAGUCCAUAUCGACAAGGGGGUUUACGACCUCGAUGUUGGAUCAGGACAUCCUAAUGGUGCAGCCGCUAUUAAGGGUUCGUUUGUUCAACGAUUAAAGUCCUACGUGAUCUGAG